CCAACCAAUCAACUUUUCUCCUCUUUUCCCCUCACCCAAUCAGAUAAUCUCUUAUUUCUGUCCAAUCAAAACACUUCCCUCUCUCUCUCUCUCUCUUUUUCUCUCUCUCUUCUUCUUCUUCUUCUUCUCUCCCUCACCCAAGUCUCCCUUGUCUCUGCAACAACAAAGAUUCAUCAUCAAACCUCACAGAUCGACCCUCAAAUCACCAUCAUCGUGCUCCCCUCAUCCUCACGAGUCCAUCCGUACGAGCCGAUCUUAAAGUAGUUGAGUUUUGACUGUCUAACUCGGAGCAACUCGAAGCUCCGACUCGGGUGUAGAUUUUUUCGACGACUUUCCGUUCGAGUUGCACGGUUUUGGAAGGUUUGGAGACAUCUAGGAAACUCCCUGUGGCCACUAGCCUAGGUUUGAAGUGGAGCCAAUGUGAGAACACACGGGUUUGAGACGACGAAAAUAGGAUUGAGAGUUUCGAGGCUUUUUCAGUCCAUUUCCGUCCACUUUUUGGACUUUUGAAAGAAUCUGGCGAAUUUUUCCAUAAACUGGCGAACUAAACAGCGGCGGAGUGGCCGCAACCUGGCAGUGCGUGGCGGCGCGUGAGGGUGUGUUCGGCCUCCGAGCGGUGCGUGCUUGACGUGUACGAGUUCGUGACGUCGAGAAGACUAUUUUCGUAUAUUUAAACCUUUUGUUUGAGCAAAACUAAGGGGGAUUUUUCUAGCCUUUUAGUGUAUGUACUAAUUAAUUAAUUAGUAAAGUUAUUUCACAUAUAUGUGAGACUUACUCCGAGGAGGUACGAGGACAAACAAGGCUAGGAGGCUACAAUCCAUUGACGUAUUAGUGAGUGGGCAUUUGUUUAUAAAUAUAAUAUAUAAAGUUUUAUAGUUUCCACAA